rnacentral:lncRNA from 10 species
AGCUGGAGUGGACAGGACGGCUUUCGAGAUUUGGCGCGGCCUUUGUCUCUGGCUGCAGUCGUAGCUCCAGGUCUUUUCUUCUCUGUUCUGUGUCUUCUGCUCCUAGAGGCCCAGCUUCUGUGUCCCUGUGACCUGUAGGUAUUGGGAGAUCCACAGCUAAGAUGCCCUAGCUGAUGUGACCUUUUUCUUCCUAGGUUCUGCCUGCAAAGAAGAUUGUGACAUAUUGCUGGUUGCAACACCACGGUGAUGUUACUUUUUGCCUUCUCACUGCCCUCAGAAGGCAUUGUGAUAUGUUGGUGGUCCCAGCUUCAAAGAAAUGUAAGUAUCCUCUCUGGACCCUUCCCACAAAGGGCAUUGUAACAUAUCUCUGCACCCAUCAACUAUUUGAUAUGACUCUCUUCUCUGACCUGGGCUCUGCCCACAGGAGUCAUUGUGACAUGUUUCUGGGCCCGUCACCUAGUUGAUGUGACUCUCCUCUGCCUAGGCCCUGUCCAUGAUGGGGAUUGUGACAUACUGCCUGAUCAAGCACCU